UACGUAGGGUGCAAGCGUUGUCCGGAAUUAUUGGGCGUAAAGAGCUUGUAGGCGGUCUGUCACGUCGGCUGUGAAAACCCGAGGCUCAACCUCGGGUCUGCAGUCGAUACGAGCAAACUAGAGUGUUGCAGGGGAGACUGGAAUUCCUGGUGUAGCGGUGAAAUGCGCAGAUAUCAGGAGGAACACCGGUGGCGAAGGCGGGUCUCUGGGCAACAACUGACGCUGAGGAGCGAAAGCGUGGGGAGCGAACAGG
rnacentral:rRNA from 1 species